CCUACGGGAGGCAGCAGUGGGGAAUAUUGGGCAAUGGGCGCAAGCCUGACCCAGCAACGCCGCGUGAAGGAAGAAGGCCUUCGGGUUGUAAACUUCUUUUAUCAAGGACGAAACAAAUGACGGUACCUGAUGAAUAAGCCACGGCUAACUACGUGCCAGCAGCCGCGGUACUACGUAGGUGGCAAGCGUUAUCCGGAUUUACUGGGUGUAAAGGGCGUGUAGGCGGGACUGCAAGUCAGAUGUGAAAACCAUGGGCUCAACCCAUGGCCUGCAUUUGAAACUGUGGUUCUUGAGUGUGGGAGAGGCAGGCGGAAUUCCGAGUGUAGCGGUGAAAUGCGUAGAUAUACGGAGGAACACCAGUGGCGAAGGCGGCCUGCUGGACAGUAACUGACGCUGAGGCGCGAAAGCGUGGGGAGCAAACAGGAUUAGAUACCCUUGUAGUC
rnacentral:rRNA from 1 species